UACACUCCUGCGGGAGGCAGCAGUGGGGAAUAUUGGACAAUGGGCGCAAGCCUGAUCCAGCCAUGCCGCGUGAGUGAUGAAGGCCCUAGGGUUGUAAAGCUCUUUCACCGGUGAAGAUAAUGACGGUAACCGGAGAAGAAGCCCCGGCUAACUUCGUGCCAGCAGCCGCGGUAAUACGAAGGGGGCUAGCGUUGUUCGGAUUUACUGGGCGUAAAGCGCACGUAGGCGGACUAUUAAGUCAGGGGUGAAAUCCCGGGGCUCAACCCCGGAACUGCCUUUGAUACUGGUAGUCUUGAGUUCGAGAGAGGUGAGUGGAAUUCCGAGUGUAGAGGUGAAAUUCGUAGAUAUUCGGAGGAACACCAGUGGCGAAGGCGGCUCACUGGCUCGAUACUGACGCUGAGGUGCGAAAGCGUGGGGAGCAAACAGGAUUAGAUACCCCUGUAGUCC
rnacentral:rRNA from 1 species